rnacentral:rRNA from 1 species
GAUGAACGCUGGCGGCGUGCCUAAUACAUGCAAGUCGAGCGAGCGGACGAGAAGCUUGCUUCUCUGAUGUUAGCGGCGGACGGGUGAGUAACACGUGGCUAACCUACCUAUAAGACUGGGAUAACUUCGGGAAACCGGAGCUAACACCGGAUAAUAUUUUGAACCGCAUGGUUCAACAGUGAAAGACGGUCUUGCUGUCACUUAUAGAUGGAUCCGCGCUGCAUUAGCUAGUUGGUAAGGUAACGGCUUACCAAGGCAACGAUGCAUAGCCGACCUGAGAGGGUGAUCGGCCACACUGGAACUGAGACACGGUCCAGACUCCUACGGGAGGCAGCAGUAGGGAAUCUUCCGCAAUGGGCGAAAGCCUGACGGAGCAACGCCGCGUGAGUGAUGAAGGUCUUCGGAUCGUAAAACUCUGUUAUUAGGGAAGAACAUAUGUGUAAGUAUCUGUGCACAUCUUGACGGUACCUAAUCAGAAAGCCACGGCUAACUACGUG